UGCUGUGAUGAGUUCUCUCGUUAAUCUGAACAAUGUUAAAUGAGGAUAAAUAAAUCCAUUCAAAAACUCUGAGC